rnacentral:rRNA from 1 species
CAUGUCCUUUUGAUAAUAAUUUAAGGUCUGAUCUGCUCAAUGAAUUUUUAAUAGCCGCAGUAUUUUGACUGUGCAAAGGUAGCAUAAUAAUUAGUUUCUUAAUUAGGAACUGGAAUGAAUGAUUGGACAAGAAAAUUACUGUCUCUUUUUUAAAUUUAUUGAAUUUUAUUUUUAAGUGAAAAAGCUUAAAUAUAUAUAAAAGACGAGAAGACCCUAUAGAGUUUAAUAUUUUUUACAAAUAGAAAGUUAGAAUAUUAUUUUUGUAUAAUUUAUUUAGUUGGGGUGAUUAAAAGAUUAAAUUAAUUCUUUAAAAAAAAAAUUGUUAAUUUACAAAUUAUGUAUCUAUAAUUUAUAAAUAUAAAAUAAAUUACCUUAGGGAUAACAGCGUAAUUUUUCUUUAAAGUUCUUAUUGUAAGGAAAGUUUGCGACCUCGAUGUUGGAUUAAAAUUAAUUUUUGGUGCAAUAACUUAAAAAUUAGGUCUGUUCGACCUUUAAAAUUUUACAUGAUCUGAGUUUAAACCGGUGUGAGCCAGGUUGGAUUCUAUCUUUAGAAAAUUUAAUAUACUUUAGUACGAAAGGACCAAGUAUGUGUUAGAUUAAUUG